rnacentral:lncRNA from 1 species
GUGUUCAAAUAAAUGCUGCUAUCACGCGAGACUUAAAUACAUUACGAGCUCAAAUCCGUUACAAACCGAAUAAUUUCAUGAAUUACUACACACACCUUAAGGCUCUAAAUACCUCUAUAUAGACUGAUAUUUUAAUAAAAGAAAUCUUUAAGUUGGCAGAGGGAUCGGAAACGUUUAGCCCAACAGUAGGGCAACUUUAUAAGGAACUUGGCCAAAAAGUACAGCAAAGAUAUCAAAUUGAAAUGAAAAAGAAAAAUGGUAUAUUG